AUCUUGAUUCACAAGAACUGGAUACAGGUACUCUUCACCGCUUUGUUCAUCAGGUACAACAAUAAAGGAAUCUGCCAUCUCAUUGGGAUCUUCCUCCAUCUCCGGCAACCUAUCAGAGUCAUUGUCGAAGAAAUUUAUGGACAUUAGAUCAUCAAUGGAUAUGCCUUCAUCCAUGUGGAAUUGGGGAUGCUCUGGGGUGGGAUUGUUGAAAUUUGGCCCACAAGUACUAGCAAGCAAAGAUUCCAGAAGUGGAUCCGAGUCGACCUGUGAGAUUGGAAUCUCUAUUGGAUCAUGAUCAGAAGCCCUGCUACUACUAGGUUGACUUUCGUCACAAGCAGAUGUACGAGCCUUGUCAUCUCUUUUUGCCUUUAAUUUACAGAGAACAAAAUCUGUCUGGUAAGGAGUUUUAGGCUGAUACUCGUGAAUGACCCAGUUGGUCUUCACCUCCUUGGGGCUGCCACGCUUAUAAAAAACCAAAGUCCUCUUUGUACCAAUCUCACUGUUAGUGCGACUGGCCGUGAUUGGACGCUCAUUACCAGUUGGUUUCCAGUGUCCACUCUGUGUUGAUCUGUUGAACCGUUGUCUGGUGGUAUUUUUAUACUUAUUCUCCCUUCUAUGAAAGAAAUACCACACCUGAUCAUUUGACCCCCCCGCGGCAUAUCUUGGCAAAUCCCAGGGGUCGUACUUGCAGAGAUCAAUAAGCCGAAUAUCAUCAUCAACCAGCCCAUCAUUUCCAGCCAUCUUGUGCUUUAGAAAGUAACUGACGAGUUCCUCAUCAGUUGGAUGGAAUCUAUAUCCUACUCUUCCAUUCAUUUUGUCAGAGAGUUACUUUGGAUAAAGAGUCUCAAAGUGAGAACAAAAGCUUUUGUGUCUGAUACUUUCUCUUAUGAAUAAG
rnacentral:misc_RNA from 1 species